rnacentral:rRNA from 1 species
UACGGAGGGGGCUAGCGUUGUUCGGAAUUACUGGGCGUAAAGCGUGCGCAGGCGGUCUGCUAAGAGAGAUGUGAAAUCCCCGGGCUUAACCUGGGAACUGCGUUUCUAACUGGCAGGCUUGAGUGUGGCAGAGGGGGGUGGAAUUCCACGUGUAGCAGUGAAAUGCGUAGAGAUGUGGAGGAACACCGAUGGCGAAGGCAGCCCCCUGGGCUAACACUGACGCUCAUGCACGAAAGCGUGGGGAGCAAACAGG